UUUCACUUCAUUAUAAAACCUUAAUUCUUCAUUUUUGAAAUUAACAUCUUCGUCUUCUUCACCUUUCCAUAGUCUUCAAUCCAGUUAAAUAAUGUGGCUACUGCACUUCAAGAGUGAUUGGCAUAAACAUAAUUUAAGGAAAAAACGAGACAACUCUCUCUACUUACUGCAGAAGAAUACUCAUAUUGAUAUGGAACUUGGUGACUAAAGGACCGAUUGAAGGAAAACUCAUCUUGAGAUGACAUCAAAUUCUCGAGAUAUUGUAGAAAUUGUCGAUUAAUGGAGUAAUUCUAAGGCAUAUUUUAGUUUACUUUUGCAAAUCUUGUAGCUUAUGAAAAUAUUUUUAUUUUUAGAUUAAGGGAAAUAUCUUUUAUGUCGAAAAUUGUCAUGGAACAAGUUUCUUUUGCCUUUAAUUACUUUAGUUCUAUUUUUAUUUUCCAAUUCUAGU
rnacentral:lncRNA from 1 species